AUCAGGUGCCUUUUAAAAAGGUGAAAAGGGAAUGCGGUUAGAACCCGCAGCAGCCCCCGCUACUGUAUUUGAUGACUGACCUUUAAUUAACCACUCCUUAAUGUGGAGGAAGGGUAAAGGGAAGGAUGAAUCAUAAGCCAGGAGACCUGCCUGUUGAGAAU
rnacentral:ncRNA from 1 species